UACGGAGGGGCUAGCGUUGUUCGGAAUUACUGGGCGUAAAGCGCACGUAGGCGGCCUGCUAAGUCGAACGUGAAAUCCCCGGGCUCAACCCGGGAACUGCGUCCGAUACUGGCAGGCUUGAAUCCGGGAGAGGGAUGUGGAAUUCCAGGUGUAGCGGUGAAAUGCGUAGAUAUCUGGAGGAACACCGGUGGCGAAGGCGGCAUCCUGGACCGGCAUUGACGCUGAGGCGCGAAAGCCAGGGGAGCAAAGCGGG
rnacentral:rRNA from 1 species